rnacentral:rRNA from 1 species
UACGAAGGGUGCAAGCGUUACUCGGAAUUACUGGGCGUAAAGCGUGCGUAGGUGGUUCGUUAAGUCUGAUGUGAAAGCCCUGGGCUCAACCUGGGAAUUGCAUUCAAAACUGGCUAACUAGAGUAUGUGAGAGGGGGGUAGAAUUCCAAGUGUAGCGGUGAAAUGCGUAGAGAUUUGGAGGAAUACCAGUGGCGAAGGCGGCCCCCUGGCACAAUACUGACGCUGAGGUGCGAAAGCGUGGGGAGCAAACAGG